CCUAACGGGAGGCAGCAGUGAGGAAUAUUGGUCAAUGGGCUUACGCCUGAACCAGCCAAGUCGCGUGAGGGAAGACUGCCCUAUGGGUUGUAAACCUCUUUUGUCAGGGAGCAAUUGGCGCUACGUGUAGCGUUAUCGAGAGUACCUGAAGAAAAAGCAUCGGCUAACUCCGUGCCAGCAGCCGCGGAAAUACGGAGGAUGCGAGCGUUAUCCGGAUUUAUUGGGUUAAAAGGGUGCGUAGGCGGAAUGCCAAGUCAGCGGUAAAAUCGCGGGGCUAAACCGCGAUCCGCCGUUGAGACUGGCGUUCUUGAGUGGGCCAGAGGGAUGCGGAAUGCGUGGUGUAGCAGUGAAAUGCAUAGAUAUCGCGAAGAACUCCGAUUGCGAAGGCAGCAUACCGGCGCCCAACUGACGCUGAAACACGAAAGCGUGGGUAUCGAACAGGAUUAGAUACCCCAGUAGUC
rnacentral:rRNA from 1 species